GCCUUUGUUUGCUUCCAUCAGCUACUGGAUGAAGCCUCUAGGAAUGGCAACCAAGCUAAUACCACUGCGAUCAAUAGCUGAGAGAAAAAGGAAUGAGUUUGGGAAAGAUGAAGUCCAAGUAGGAGCUCCAUGGUGACCAAAACCUUAGAGGGGACACAGCUAUUUCACAGAGUCCCCUGACCUGUGGCCACAAGACACUUCCUGUCACCGAAUCCACCAGAGGGACCUGGAGGCAGAACAAAGCAUCCACCAUCCUGUCUUUCCCCUGCACCCUCUGGGAGAGAGGGGAGGAAAGAGUCUUGAACCCAUACCCACCAGGAGAGGGAGAGACCCCACCUGUACCCAAUGGAAGAAGGGAUAGGAAGAUGACAGUAUAAGAACACAUUCAACAACAGAA